rnacentral:piRNA from 1 species
UAAAACUGAUCGCCAACCUCAACAUGC